rnacentral:rRNA from 1 species
GAUGAACGCUGGCGGCGUGCCUAAUACAUGCAAGUCGAGCGAACAGACGAGGAGCUUGCUCCUCUGACGUUAGCGGCGGACGGGUGAGUAACACGUGGAUAACCUACUUCUAAUACUGGGAUAACUUCGGGAAACCGGAUCUAAUACCGGAGAAUAUAUUGAACCGCAUGGUUCAAUAGUGAAUGACGGUUUUGCUGUCACUUAUAGAUGGAUCCGCGCCGCAUUAGCUAGUUGGUAAGGUAACGGCUUACCAAGGCAACGAUGCGUAGCCGAGCUGAGAGGGUGAUCGGCCACACUGGAACUGAGACACGGUCCAGACUCCUACGGGAGGCAGCAGUGGGGAAUCUUCGGCAAUGGGCGAAAGCCUGACGGAGCAACGCCGCGUGGGUGAUGAAGGUCUUCGGAUCGUAAAGCUCUGUUAUUGGGGAAGAACAGAUGUGUAAGUAACUAUGCACGUCUUGACGGUACCUAAUCAGAAAGCCACGGCUAACUACGUG